AUUGAACGCUGGCGGAAUGCUUUACACAUGCAAGUCGAACGGCAGCACGGACUUCGGUCUGGUGGCGAGUGGCGAACGGGUGAGUAAUAUAUCGGAACGUGCCCAGUCGUGGGGGAUAACGUAGCGAAAGUUACGCUAAUACCGCAUACGUUCUAUGGAUGAAAGCGGGGGAUCGCAAGACCUCGCGCGAUUGGAGCGGCGGAUAGCAGAUUAGGUAGUUGGUGGGGGAAAGGAUCACCAAGCCAACGAGCUGUAGCUGGUCUGAGAGGACGACCAGCCACACGGGAACUGAGACACGGACGCGACUCCGACGGGGAGCAGCAGUGGGGAAUUUUGGACAAUGGAGGAAAGUCUGAUCUAGCCAUUCCGGGGGCAGGAUGAAGGCCCUCGGGUUGUAAACUGCUUUUGUACGGAACGAAAAGGUCUCCAUUAAUACUGGGGGCUCAUGGCGGUACCGUAAGAAUAAGCACCGGCUAACUACGUGCCAGCCGCCGCCGUAAGAC
rnacentral:rRNA from 1 species